rnacentral:rRNA from 1 species
GAUGAACGCUGGCGGCGUGCCUAAUACAUGCAAGUCGAGCGAACAGACGAGGAGCUUGCUCCCCUGACGUUAGCGGCGGACAGGUGAGUAACACGUGGAUAACCUACCUAUAAUACUGGGAUAACUUCGGGAAACCGGAGCUAAUACCGGAUAAUAUAUUUAACCGCAUGGUUCAAUAGUGAAAGACGGUUUUGCUGUCACUUAUAGAUGGAUCCGCGCCGCAUUAGCUAGUUGGUAAGGUAACGGCUUACCAAGGCAACGAUGCGUAGCCGACCUGAGAGGGUGAUCGGCCACACUGGAACUGAGACACGGUCCAGACUCCUACGGGAGGCAGCAGUAGGGAAUCUUCCGCAAUGGGCGAAAGCUUGACGGAGAAACGCCGCGUGAGUGAUGAAGGUCUUCGGAUCGUAAAACUCUGUUAUUAGGGAAGAACAAAUGUGUAAGUAACUAUGCACGUAUUGACGGUACCUAAUCAGAAAGCCACGGCUAACUACGUG